AUAAAAUGAACACAGCAGAAUUUAAGAGUGCAACGUUUCCAAAUGCAGGGCCAAGACAUCUGUUAGAUGAUAGCGUCAUGGAGCCCCAUGCGCCAUCUCGAGGCCAAGCUGAAAGUUCUACUCUUUCUAGUGGAAUAUCAAUAGGUAGCAGCGAUGGUUCUGAACUAAGUGAAGAGACCUCAUGGCCUGCUUUUGAAAGGAACAGAUUAUACCAUUCUCUCGGCCCGGUGACAAGAGUGGCACGAAAUGGCUAUCGAAGUCACAUGAAGGCCAGCAGUUCUGCAGAAUCAGAAGAUUUGGCAGUACAUUUAUAUCCAGGAGCUGUUACUAUUCAAGGUGUUCUCAGGAGAAAAACUUUGUUAAAAGAAGGCAAAAAGCCUACAGUAAGAUUUCAUCAUAUUAUAUUUUAAUACACCUCUAAAAAUAUGCAAAUGUAUAAGACUCUGUAAAAGUACUAAAACAAUUAAAACCUGAUUAUAGUAGACUUGAAAUAAUAUUAAAUAAGGUCCUCCCCCCUUAUCCUUGGGUCAUCCAUUCCAAUACCCUCCGGGGAUGACUGAAACCUCAGAUAGUACCAAACCAAAUUACCAUCAUUUGGAACAUGUUUCUGUUCAUGUCUUCCAUCCACAAAUAUAGUGCCUUUUCUAUCUUAACUAAGCACUUAACCCCACACAGUAGC
rnacentral:sRNA from 1 species